rnacentral:lncRNA from 1 species
AAUGAUCGCAGACAAACGUGAAGCGACACGAGGCAGAGUAGGAAAAGAAAAAUAAAGAAGAUGAAGGGUGAAAGAGAGCAGAAAUUUGACAGCAAUGAAGAGAAAAAGGGCAAGAGGGUGGAGGGAUUUUGGAGAAAGUAAAAAAAAGGAAAAAAAAAAGAUAAAUAGAAUAUUUGAUAACCACCCUAAUCCCUUAUUUCUCUCCAUCAAACUCC